AUUCGGCGAAACCCGGAAGUAAAGUAGCGCCGCCAUUACUGCGGUGCUCUGCUGCUAAGGAAGUAGCAGAAGUAGCUUGUUGUUGGUCCCGCAGCGGCUGUUGCAGACGUUCGCUGCAAGCUUACAAGCAGGCUUAGAUGCGAAAAGUUUGUCCAUUUUUUUUUCUUUUCAACGAUGCCGGGAAGAACUUGUUGUGUUUUCGGCUGCUUUAACAGCAGUGCAAAAAUACAGGCCUGGAAUAAGACUGUUUGUGAAAUUCACAAACCUUUACUGCACCGACUGCCCGUGUGGCCUUAUGGAUUACACAGAUAACCUGGUCGAGCGGAGGACCAAGAUGUGCGUCAAAAGUGGAUGAAAUACAUAAACCGAGAUGGCGUCACAGCAAACAAGAAUACUGUGGUGUGUGGGAUACAUUUUCCUGACGGACAACCCAGAAGAGAAAAUCGCUAUCCUGUGUUGUUCAUGGGCUAUGAUUGUCGUGUAACUCCAGCUAGACCUCCACCCAAAAAAAGAUGUCUUCAGGCACUACACCUGAACUCAGCUAUUGGACCAAUGGGAACAGAUGUGGAUGUUGGAAAUUUGGAAACAUUGCCUCUGCAAACAUGUGAUGUUGGAAUCCAGUCGCCAGAUCACAUGGACCACAACUACAGUUUCAGCUGCGGUAACAAGCCGAUGAAGGACUGUGGCACUCAGACUGAUCCAACGCCAUCAGUGUCAGCGAAAAAUUUAAAUAACAAAGACUUUAUAUUUUAUACAGGUUUAUGUGCUGACAGUUUCUGGCUACUUUUGCGAGUCGUUUUGUGUUGAUGAGAUUGUAAGUAUUUGUGCAGAGCUAUGUAAUUUGCAGCCUCUGUUAAUCCAUAACAGUACUGAAUAAAAAAAGGAAACACCUGAAGAAUGAUUGUGUGUGUGAUGUGGUUAUUAAUUUUGAGGCCAAGGAAGGUCAUAUUACUUUUUAUUUGAACAAAAAGUUCAACAAAGCAACCAACUGUUUCAAACCACAAUGUAGAUGGUUGUACAUGUUUAAAUUGUGAAGAAAUGUCAAACUCUUGAUGCUUAGUAAGUUACCAUAGCAAUGCAGUGUCGAUAACUAACAUGUAAUUUUUUUAAACAAUGAACAGAUAUUUUACUCUUGA